AUCCAAGUCGUAGAUCUACAGAUCCUGCACCCACCAAAAAUUGAGAGGAAAGGAAACGAUGAAUUUCUCAAAAGAAUCUAAGGAGAGAUUCGUGAGUAACUCACCAGCUAGGGCGAUUACUGUGUUUGAUUUUUGAACGGACAAUAGGGAUGGGCUGAUGGCAUUGUUUGUGAUCUUAAAGUUGACCUUACGGUUUAGUUAUUUUCCUAAAUUUAUUUUUGAACUUAAGCUCUACACCCUAAGGAUUAUUCUGUCAUAAUACAUUAUACUUAAUUCAAAAAAUAAGUACUUAUUUUAGUUAGCUGAACGGGACCUUAAACUUAUUUUUGAACUUCAAAUCUAGACUUGGCCACAUCGUAAUUGUGUUUGGGGAGGAUAAGUAAUAAGUUUAGACAAAUAAGUUAAGGAGAGUGUAUGUCCAAAACUUAUUUGUAAAUAAGAUCUAAAAUAAGAUAAGAUCCUAAAUUAAGAUCACAAGAAUGCACCCAGAUGUGCUUAGGCUACGUUCCUCUUACGUCUUUAUAAAAAAUAAAUAUUUAUUUUUAAUUUUCAAACUUAAAAAUAAUGUAUUUACGAAACUAAUUUUUUUAUUUUUUUCACCGUUCAUAAGAUUUCGAUGAAAUCUAUUAAACAAGAUCCAUAAUGCACAAAAAAUUAUUUCAGUAAGUCUAUCAUUUUUAAGCUUAAAAUUUAAAAUUAAGUAUUUAUUUUUUAAGAAGAAUCACCAGAACACAGUCGAAGGUCUAAUUUCAGGUAAGCCUAAUCCCAACAUUUUCAGUGAUUUUUGCCCAAAGCCUCAAAAUCCAAAUUACCAAAGACCAAAGCAGACUACAGACCACGCCACCAAAGGUCUCAGAACACGCUUACAGCUUGUAUAUAUGAUGCAAAAAUGUAUAAUAUAUUUGUAUAAGCUAGGGGGGAAAAACGUACAAACCCAUUAGACGAUGAAAUACGUGUUACGUGAAGAACCGAACGUUGACCCAGUCCAAAAACGAACGUUGACCCGGUCCAAAUUUAAACCAGCGUCCCCGUUCAAGAUCCGAACCGAAAACGUCCUCUUGAAGCCGAUUUAGAUCUGAUGACGUGGCUCGAAGGCGGCUGUUGCAGAGGAGAAGAAGGUGAAGGUCUACAUCCCGGUGCCAUCUCAGGCGAUAUAUAGUUGUCCGUCUAGAUCCAGACUCAAGCCAACGACGCAUUUGUAGAGUCAUGGAGGUCAGACAAGCUGCACGAGGCUCCCACAAUCAAACUAUGGAUGAAAGUUAUCGAGAAAGGAUGAGAUAUAGAGAGAUAGAGGGAGAGUUCUUGUAGAUUUGUAGGGAGAGAAUAAUAUAUGAGAAAGUUGGACUCCGGCAGGGAAGGGAAAGGAAGGGAAGGG